rnacentral:rRNA from 1 species
UAUGGAGGGGUGCGUAGCGUUGCUCGGAAUCACUGGGCGUGAAAGGGUGCGUAGGCGGGUCUUUAAGUCAGGGGUGAAAUCCUGGAGCUCAACUCCAGAACUGCCUUGAUACUGAAGGAGUCUUGAGUUCGGGAGAGGUGGAGUGGGAAGCUGCGAGUGUAGAGGGUGAAAUUCGUAGAUAUUACGCAAGAACACCAGUGG